rnacentral:rRNA from 1 species
AGCGUAGACGGAUGGACAAGUCUGAUGUGAAAGGCUGGGGCUCAACCCCGGGACUGCAUUGGAAACUGCCCGUCUUGAGUGCCGGAGAGGUAAGCGGAAUUCCUAGUGUAGCGGUGAAAUGCGUAGAUAUUAGGAGGAACACCAGUGGCGAAGGCGGCUUUCUGGACUGACACUGACGCUGAGGCUCGAAAGCGUGGGAGCAAACA